GGGUUGUGAGGUUAAGCGACUAAGCGUACACGGUGGAUGCCCUGGCAGUCAGAGGCGAUGAAGGACGUGCUAAUCUGCGAUAAGCGUCGGUAAGGUGAUAUGAACCGUUAUAACCGGCGAUUUCCGAAUGGGGAAACCCAGUGUGUUUCGACACACUAUCAUUAACUGAAUCCAUAGGUUAAUGAGGCGAACCGGGGGAACUGAAACAUCUAAGUACCCCGAGGAAAAGAAAUCAACCGAGAUUCCCCCAGUAGCGGCGAGCGAACGGGGAGCAGCCCAGAGCCUGAAUCAGUGUGUGUGUUAGUGGAAGCGUCUGGAAAGGCGCGCGAUACAGGGUGACAGCCCCGUACACAAAAAUGCACAUACUGUGAGCUCGAUGAGUAGGGCGGGACACGUGGUAUCCUGUCUGAAUAUGGGGGGACCAUCCUCCAAGGCUAAAUACUCCUGACUGACCGAUAGUGAACCAGUACCGUGAGGGAAAGGCGAAAAGAACCCCGGCGAGGGGAGUGAAAAAGAACCUGAAACCGUGUACGUACAAGCAGUGGGAGCACGCUUCGGCGUGUGACUGCGUACCUUUUGUAUAAUGGGUCAGCGACUUAUAUUCUGUAGCAAGGUUAACCGAAUAGGGGAGCCGAAGGGAAACCGAGUCUUAACUGGGCGUUAAGUUGCAGGGUAUAGACCCGAAACCCGGUGAUCUAGCCAUGGGCAGGUUGAAGGUUGGGUAACACUAACUGGAGGACCGAACCGACUAAUGUUGAAAAAUUAGCGGAUGACUUGUGGCUGGGGGUGAAAGGCCAAUCAAACCGGGAGAUAGCUGGUUCUCCCCGAAAGCUAUUUAGGUAGCGCCUCGUGAACUCAUCUUCGGGGGUAGAGCACUGUUUCGGCAAGGGGGUCAUCCCGACU
rnacentral:rRNA from 1 species